rnacentral:rRNA from 1 species
UACGAAGGGGGCUAGCGUUGCUCGGAAUCACUGGGCGUAAAGGGAGCGUAGGCGGGUCUUUAAGUCAGGGGUGAAAUCCUGGAGCUCAACUCCAGAACUGCCUUUGAUACUGAAGAUCUUGAGUUCGGGAGAGGUGAGUGGAACUGCGAGUGUAGAGGUGAAAUUCGUAGAUAUUCGCAAGAACACCAGUGGCGAAGGCGGCUCACUGGCCCGAUACUGACGCUGAGGCACGAAAGCGUGGGGAGCAAACAGG